rnacentral:tRNA from 1 species
GGGAAUGUGGCUUAGUGGUAAAGUGCUUGUCUGGCAUGCAUAAAGCCCUGGGUUCAAUUCCUCGGUACCA